GUUAGAGUAUCAGUGUCUUGGAUUAUCAUGGUCUCUGAAGGGAAUCGUUAGAUUGUCAGGGUCUUGGAAUAUCAGGGUCUCGGAGUAAAAGGUUAGAUUAUCCUUAUCUUGGAUUAUCAAGGUAUAUGGAGUGAAUGGUCAGAUUAUCAGUGUCUUGGAUUGUCAUGGUCAGAAGUGAAUGGUUAGAUUAUCAAUGUUUUGGAUUAUCAGGGUCUCAGAAGUGAAAGCUUGGAGUAUCAGUAUCUUGGAUUAUCAGGGUCUCAGAAGUGAAUGGUUAGAGUAUCAGUGUCUUGGAUUAUCAUGGUCUCUGAAGUGAAUGGUUAGAUUAUCCGUAUCUUGGAUUAUCAUGGAUGUAGGAGUGAAUGGUUAUAUUAUCAAUGUUUUGGAUUAUCAUGGUCUAGGAGUGAAUGGUUAUAUUAUCAAUGUUUUGGAUUAUCAGGGUCUUGGAUUAUCAUGGUCUAGGAGUGAAUGGUUAUAUUAUCAGUGUCUUGGAUUAUCAUGGUCUAGGAGUGAAUGGUUAGAUUAUCAAUGUUUUGGAUUAUCAUGGUCUAGGAGUGAAUGGUUAUAUUAUCAAUGUUUUGGAUUAUCAGGGUCUUGGAAGUAAAUGGUUAUAUUAUCAGUGUUUUGCUAUUAAUUGUCAAAUUAACAAUUUCUUGAAGUUUCUUUUAGCAGAGGUGAGUAAUAACUCAAUAAUAAUCAUUUGGCCUUAAACAGUUAGGAAAACCUAAUAUCCAGCUGGUUGAUAAAAUAUGUUAUUUGCUCCUAUGAGGUUUUUUAGUGUUCUAUUAAAAUUCUAAACAACUUUUAUCAAUUCAUCAAGAAAAUCCCACACAUUAAUCAUGGACAUCAGCACAAAUUGAUACACUCAUUCAUGGUCAAUGUGAUAAAGUGUUAAAGUUGACAUGACUAUCAACUGUGUCUUUUGUAUAAUCUGACUUUAUUGGUGAUUAGUCAUUGAGAUCCCAGAAAGCAGCAUUUAUCUAAUCACUGAGUAUGAUCCCUCGCCCUUUAAAUCUAGAAUAUCUUUACAGGGAAGAGAUCUGUAAUUUGAUAUCUUUCUUCGGAGCCCUAUAACGUAUUAAUCUGUUCCUCACCGGGGUCAGGGAACCCAGAUCCGAUUAAUAUUAUUGAAAAAUCAAAUGGAAAAAAAAAAAUUUCAUUCAUCAUAGCAUAUUAAAUCAAGCUAAUGUCAU
rnacentral:lncRNA from 1 species